rnacentral:misc_RNA from 1 species
CAAAAAUGUAAAUAAACAUCCCAUGCCUCGGUAAUUCUGGCAGAUAGUUUGUUAUGAAUCUGUUGUUUGAGAAAGAAGUUAAUCUUGGACUCUGGCAAGGGUCAAGUAGAUGUUGUUUUACAGUAUGCUUUGAACUUUUAAUUUAGAAGCAGUCGUUUCUGUGAAAUGGUCCUCUGUGGAAGACCAAAAACAGAAAUGGAAUUGAAAAAAG